GAUGAACGCUGGCGGCGUGCCUAAUACAUGCAAGUCGAGCGAACAGACGAGGAGCUUGCUCCUUUGACGUUAGCGGCGGACGGGUGAGUAACACGUAGGUAACCUACCUAUAAGACUGGGAUAACUCCGGGAAACCGGGGCUAAUACCGGAUAAUAUUUUGAACCGCAUGGUUCAAUAGUGAAAGACGGUUUCGGCUGUCACUUAUAGAUGGACCCGCGCCGUAUUAGCUAGUUGGUAAGGUAACGGCUUACCAAGGCGACGAUACGUAGCCGACCUGAGAGGGUGAUCGGCCACACUGGAACUGAGACACGGUCCAGACUCCUACGGGAGGCAGCAGUAGGGAAUCUUCCGCAAUGGGCGAAAGCCUGACGGAGCAACGCCGCGUGAGUGAUGAAGGUCUUCGGAUCGUAAAACUCUGUUGUUAGGGAAGAACAAAUUUAUUAGUAACUGAACAAGUCUUGACGGUACCUAACCAGAAAGCCACGGCUAACUACGUGCCAGCCGCCGCAGUAA
rnacentral:rRNA from 1 species